rnacentral:rRNA from 1 species
ACUCCUACGGGAGGCAGCAGUGGGGAAUCUUAGACAAUGGGCGCAAGCCUGAUCUAGCCAUGCCGCGUGAGUGACGAAAGGCCCUAGGGUCGUAAAAGCUCUUUCAACGGUGAAAGAUAAUGACGGUAGCCGUAGAAGAAAACCCCGGCUAACUCCGUGCCAGCAGCCGCGGUAAUACGGAGGGGUUAGCGUUGUUCGGAAUUACUGGGCGUAAAGCGCGCGUAGGCGGAUUGGAAA